rnacentral:pre_miRNA from 1 species
AGCCUUUUUUUUAUCCCUGCUGAGAUUUCGUCACACACCAGACCACAAGAGCUGAUGAGACUCCAAGAUAAGUGAAGCG